rnacentral:rRNA from 1 species
CUGCUUAACACAAGUUGAGUAGGGAAAGUUUUUCGGUGUAGGAUGAGACUAUAUAGUAUCAGCUAGUUGGUGAGGUAAUAGCUCACCAAGGCUAUGACGCUUAACUGGUCUGAGAGGAUGAUCAGUCACACUGGAACUGAGACACGGUCCAGACUCCUACGGGAGGCAGCAGUAGGGAAUAUUGCGCAAUGGGGGAAACCCUGACGCAGCAACGCCGCGUGGAGGAUGACACUUUUCGGAGCGUAAACUCCUUUUCUUAGGGAAGAAUUCUGACGGUACCUAAGGAA